AUGUUUUGUUUGGUGGUCAAAGGAACUUUUUUCUUAUUUGUUUUAGAUUUGGACUCAAGAUGUGAAAUAACCAGCAAUGGAAAAGCAUACAUUUAUAAAAAACGUUCAUCUCUUACUCUACAUCACAGAAUUGAUAAUGGAGAGAAACCAUAUGAAUGUCUGCAUCUUCCUCACCAAAAUGAUACAGUGCCAGAAAACUUCCUGCUGACAUAUCUGGGUCUGGCAGAAACGCCUCUGUGCUAUGACUUUGUUCCUGGGAUUUGGCAGAAGAACUCUGGCUUUCUGGACAUGUGCUUUUCUGUUAGAGGAACCUUGAGGACUAAUCCAGUCUUGCAGGUCUAA
rnacentral:lncRNA from 1 species